CUGGAACUCAUUAUCUAUCCACAGCCUCCCAAGUGUUCGUGGUCCAGGUAUACGCCGCCCACACCCUAGAAAACCCAACGCCUUCAGUAACAACAUCUAACUGAACACGGCAUCCAUGUCUACAUCCUCUGGACGUUGGGAAAGUAGAAGAACUCACAACCAUUUCUUGGACUCCACCAGUACCACGGGCUCCAGAACUGCUACCUGGGCAGGUGAAGCUAACAUCUCCUGGGAGUCACUGGGAAAUCAUGGAAGCCAAGGUUAUACAUUGAGACUAUGGGAAGAUUGGAAGAAAGUCUCAGCUUCAACUUUUUUUUUUUAAGGAGAAUCUGUGUGUGUGUGUGUGUGUGUG
rnacentral:lncRNA from 1 species